GUCUUCUGCGUCGCUCAUGCUGGGAGCUGUAGACCGGAGCUGUUCCUAUUCGGCCAUCUUGGCUCCUCCUACGUUUCAUAAAUUUCUAAGAUCAGCAAUGUGGGAGACAGGAGCUUCACCUUCAGGCUGGAUUCCAUGAUGGAGAAAACACAUGGAGCAGACCAGCAGUUAUUUGCAGCUAUCAUGUGAGCUGCUACGACUCCCUAGCCUUAAUCCAGCCCAGAUCUCAGCAGAAACUUAACACCACUCUGGUGACCCUGGAAUUGCAGCAGAGGCUCAAAUCACCAAAUAAGGUCUCCCUAUUCCUUGGGACACAACUGUAUUGAAAUUAGACCAACUAAUACUUCUACAAAGACUUCUGAGUGUUGAAGUGAAAGGAAGAGUUGCACGUCUCUUAUUUUAAAUCAAAAGCUAGACAUGAUGAAGCUUAGUGAGAAAGGUCUGUAGAAAGAUAAGAUGGGCCAAAAGCUAGGCCUCUUGCAUCAGCUAACUGUGGUGUGAAUGCAAAGGAAAAGCUUUUGAGGAAAAUGAAAAUUCUACUCCAGUGAACACACAAAUGACCAGAAAGCAUAACAGCCUUAUUGCUGAAAAGAAGAAAGUUUGAGUGGUUUGGAUAGAGAAUCAAACCAGCCCCAACAUUCCCCUAAGCCAAAGCCUAAUUCAGAGGAAAGUUCUAACUCUUUUCAAUUCUGUGAAGGCUGAGAGAGGUGAGGAAACAGCAGGAGAAAAGUUUAAAGCCACCAGAGGUUGGCUUAUGAGGUUUAAGGAAAUAAAGCAACCAUCUCCAUAACAUAAAAGUGCAAGUGGAGAAGCAAGUGCUUAUGAAGAAGCUGAAGCAAGUCAUCCAGAAGAUCUAGCUAAGAUAAUUGAUGAAGGUGGCUACACUACACAACAUGUGUUAACAGCCUUCUACUGAAAGAAGAUGCCAUCUAAGACUUUCGUAGCUACAGAGAAGUCAAUACCUGGCUUCAAAGCUUCAAAGAACAGGCUGACUCUCUCAUUAGGGGCUAAUGCAGCUGGUCACUUGAAGUUGAAACCAAUGCUCAUUAACCAGUCUGAAAGUCCUUGGGCCCUUAAGAAUUAUGCUAAACCUACUCUGCCUGUGCCCUAUAAAUGAAACAACAAAGCCUGAUGAAAGCGCUCCUGUUUAUACUAUGGUUUACUGAAUAUUUUAAGCCCACUGUUGAGACCUACUGCUUCAAAAAAAAGAUUCCUUUCUAAAUAUUACUGCUCAUUGACAAUGAAGCUGGUAACCCAAGAGCUCUGACGGAAAUAUACAAGAAGAUUAAUGUUGUUUUCAUGCCUGCAAACAAAUCAUCCAUUUUGUAGCACACAGAUAAAGGAGUAAUUUUUACUUUCAAGUCUUAUUAUUUAAGAAAAACACUUCAUAAGGCUACAACUGCCAUAGUGACAUUUAUGAUGGAUCUGAGCAAAGUACAUUGAAAAUCUUCUGGAAAGGAUGCACCAUUCUAGAUGUCCUUAAGAACAUUUGUGAUUCACGGGAAGAGAUCAAAAUAUCAACACUAACAGGAAUUUAAAGGAGGUUAAUUCCAACUCUCAUGGAAGACUUUGAGGCAUUCAAGGUUUCAGUGGAGGAAGUUCCUAUAGAUGUAGUGGGCAGAGUGAGAAAAGUAGAAUCAGAAGUGGAGCCUGAGUACAUAACUGAAUCUCAGGAUAAAAUUUGAACAAAUGAGGAGUUGCUUCUUAUGGAUAGGCCAAGAAAGAGGUUUCUUGAGAUAGAAUCCACUCCUGGUGAAGAUGCUGUGAACAUUUUUGAAAUGACAACACACAAAAAUAGAAUAUUUUCUAAACUUAGUUGAUGAGACAGCAUCAGAAUUUGAAAGGUUCGACUCUAGUUUUGAAAGGUUCUGCUGUGGGUAAGAUGCUAUCAAACAGCAUCACAUGCUACAGAGAAAUGGUUGGUAAAAGGAAGAGUCAAUGGAUGCACCAAACUUUCCUGUUUUAUUUUAAGAAAUAACCACAACUAACUCAACCUUCAGUAACCACCACCUGAUCAUUCAGCAGCAGCCAUCAACCUUGAGGGAAGACCUUCUAGCAACAAAAAGAUUAAGACUCUGAAGGGUCAGAUGAGCAGUAGCUUUUUUUUUUUAGUAAUAAAGUAAAGUAUUUUUAAAUUAAGUUAUGAACAUUGGGAAUUUUUCACAUAAUGCUAUUAUUCAUACACACAACUUUUAUAUGCCCUGGGAAACCAAAGAAUUUGUGUGACUUACUUUAUUGUAGUGGUCUGGAACCAAAUCCACAAUAUCUUUGAAGUAUGCCUGUAUAUGUGUGUGUGUAUAUAUAUAUAUGUGUGUGUGUGUAUAUAUAUGUAUAUAUAUUACAUGCAUACACAUAGAUUAACAUUUUAAAAGUACAUAUACUUUAUAUGCAUAUGUAUAUAUGUGUGUGUACAUAUAUACAUAUGUACACACACAUAUAUACAUAUGUAUGUGUACAUAUGUAUAUAUGUAUGUGUACAUACAUAUAUACAUAUGCAUAUAUACAUAUGCAUAUAAAGUAUAUGUACUUUUAAAAUGUUAAUCUAUGUGUAUGCAUGUAAUAUAUAUGUACACAUGUAUAUAUGUAUAUAUGUGUGUGUACAUAUGUAUAUAUGUACACACACAUAUAUACAUAUGCAUAUAAAGUAUAUGUACUUUUAAAAUGUUAAUCUAUGUGUAUGCAUGUAAUAUAUAUACAUAUGUAUAUAGGCACACACAGACAUAUGCAUACAUACACAUAUAUAGCAGGGUCCUAAAAUAUAUAUAGCUAUAUAUACACAUAUAUAGCAGGGUCCUAAAAUAUAUGUAGCUAUGUAUACACAUAUAUAGCAGGGUCCUAAAAAUCUGUGACCAUGCAGUUAUCAUCUCCAGGAAAUUAUUAUGAGUCUAUUUCAAUUACGAUACAAAUCUCUUCCCUAGUAAAUACAGUGCAGCCUAUAAACAUAGACAUUUGGGAAUAGAGAUACUUUCUUUCAAUGAAAUAACAUUACAUUCCUUGCAAACUUAGAUUAUUUUCAAAAGACUGACCAAAAUGUAUUUUUGGAAAGAAAGAGAAUAAGACAAAAAAAAAAAAAAAAAACCAUAGCAAAAUUUCAGGAUAAAAAAAUGCUGCUCAAAUUAGCUUUUCUCACAAAAUGCUGCACCACAUAGUGAUAUUUAGUCCCAAAGAGGCAGUAGUUUUUCACCAUAGGCCUUCUGUCCCUGUGGACUGCCCUUUCUAUGGCUCCCACCCACUCCCCUUUUGUAUCUGUAAUCACUGUGUUGAACAUGGAUGGCACUGAUAACAUUUUGCAUUCCAUUUUCUUCCUCUUAGUCUUGUGUUAUUCAGAUGCACUGACCCCAUAAAAUGUUAUGAGGUAAAAGCUACUCUCAUGACCUGUAGAAAUGAAUGUCACUUUCUAAGGUAUCAGGGAAGAUUUGAGUCCUGGGAGAAUAUGCUGCUCUCCCUAAUGGCAAUUCAUGUAUCACUUUGAUGCUCAAAAAGUAACGACGCUGUCUCUUCCCCAAAGAAGAAUGAAGCAUAUGUGAAGCCAUCGUUUUCUUCACAAGGUCAGAGAACAAAGUACUUCGAAGCCAAAUGAGGAAAUUGGGGCGUGAAGAUAACUAUUUUAGAAUAUUUCUGGAAAUAUGGUAACCAGUCAAGACAGCAUUUAUUUUAAAGUGUGGUGUUAUAAUUUUGCACAGAAAUUUUUUAUGAGAAUAUUUUUGUCACUUUCAGAGAGAUCUAUUAUGAUAUGCAGGGCUGAAGGGAACAUGUUGACAUGUCUGAGAGCUAAAACAAACGUGAAGAAUGAAGCUGAAAAUAACCAGCUGUGAAGAAAGCAUUACAAAGCGCUGGGUGGCACUCAGCAUUGUACAUCUAGAAUUCAGAGAUGUGUUAGGAGAAUGCAAUAACAUGGCACUCGUAGCAAGCUUUUCCAAGAAGAAAUUAAGAAGGGCACAUCAUUUGCUAUUAUAGACUAAGGUAAUUGGUAUCUACGUAUCUGUGCUCUUCUGCUGCCAAUAGGGAUAUGCAUGAAAAAGAUGCAGCUGCACCUCUCUUUGCACAGUGGAUUCCCGAAAAUCUCUGUGCAAAUAAAUCCCAUUAUAAAACCAGAAAUGAUUCAUCUUUUCUGAUUGAUCUUCAAUAUAAAUGGUUCUUAACAUUUAACCUUUAAGAUCCUUUGUCUGAGCCACAUGGGGUUCAACUUCCUUCUCUAUACUACUGGCUCCUAAAUAUUAGUUCUUAAUGAAGUGUUCACCAUGCUCUUGUGAAAUAAGAAAAUGAAGGGAAAUGAAGUAACAUUUUGGGAGAUAAAUGUAUUCAAAUUAAAUGGCCUUGUUUAAUUCUGAGAUUAUGCCAUUAUGUUUUCCCUUUUUGAUGUUAAAAAGACCUUUUCUUUUAUGAAAUCAUGCUAACAGUAGAUGUUCAUUUAUAGUGUGUUGCUUAUAAUUUUACUGGUUUCUGAAAUCUAAAACUAUUUGUAUCUCAAUAUGCAACCAUACAAAACAUCUCAAGCCAACCUCUGCCAAGAGUUAAUGCAUUUUUCAACAAACGAAUAAAUAUAGAACUUACUUUAUAAAGAAAAUAUCCCAGGCUUCAUCUUAUAAUGCAAAGAGGUGUUAUCUAGCUAUUCUGGGUUUUGACACUGGAUGUUACAUAUUUCUCUUCCUUUCAUCAAAUUCAUCGAACUGGUUAUAU
rnacentral:lncRNA from 10 species